rnacentral:lncRNA from 1 species
GAGGAUUAAGCAAAUAGCUAAAAAAAGAAACAAAAGUGUAAUUAAUUGAAUAAAAGGGUAAGUGAAAUAAAGAAAUAAGGAAGGGGGUAACCCCACUCGGGUUCUUUGACCCUCAAAUUAGAAAGGGGAUUUCAAUCCCUAGCCUCCCUUCUUCUUCACUCCUUCGACAGCGACGGUGACGGUUUGUGGCGGGUUGCGGUAGUUCGCGAUGGCUGAGAUUGUGCCGUUCUCGGUGGCUUAUGGUGGUUCAGUUCUCACUCCCGGUGGCUUAUGGUGGUUCGAUUGGUGAAAGCGGAAUCAUGGUGGGGGACACCAAUUGUCACGGUGGCUUGAGGCAAAGGAUAAUCAUCCUCCUCAAUCUCUUUAUUUUUUAUCACUCAUCUUCUUUUACUUCGUUUCAUCGUUUCUCCUCACCAAUGUUCACGGUGGUCACCGAAUAUUAGGAAAAUAUUGUCCCUUUCGGUGUUGGAACAAACCCAACCGUGAGUUUAGUUACAUUCAGAACAUGGACUCGUUCCAAAUUAGUUCUCGGUUAUGGAUUUCCAAAAAUUUGGAUCUCUUUCUUACAUUUUUGCUUAAUGGUGUAUUGAUCCCUAUACCUAUAUUCUUCUUCUCUGUAAGUUGUAAUUGGGUUGGCACCCCUUGUGCCAGUUUGAAUAUAUUUUGUUUAUCAAAAAAAAACAUUGUGAACUAAAUUCAUCGUAUGUGUUUUCUGUUGUAACUACCUAAUCCAUUUGACGCUUAUAUAUCUAUCAUGUACAAAAUGUUUUCAUAUUUUUUGUAUUAUCAAUAAC